UACGUAGGGUGCAAGCGUUAAUCGGAAUUACUGGGCGUAAAGCGUGCGCAGGCGGUUAUGUAAGACAGGUGUGAAAGCCCCGAGCUUAACUUGGGAAUUGCGCUUGUGACUGGCGGGCUGGAGUGUGGCAGAGGGAGGUGGAAUUCCACGUGUAGCAGUGAAAUGCGUAGAGAUGUGGAGGAACACCGAUGGCGAAGGCAGCCUCCUGGGCCAGCACUGACGCUCAUGCACGAAAGCGUGGGGAGCAAACAGG
rnacentral:rRNA from 1 species